AACGGGCAGUGAAGCGGCAAGAGCUCAAAUUUGAAAUCUGGCCUCCCCCGGGGGCCCGAGUUGUAAUUUGCAGAGGAUGCUUCGGGUGCGGCCGCCGUCUAAGUUCCUUGGAACAGGACGUCAGAGAGGGUGAGAAUCCCGUCUUGGGCGGGCGGUCCGCGCCCGUGUGAAGCUCCUUCGACGAGUCGAGUUGUUUGGGAAUGCAGCUCUAAGCGGGUGGUAAAUUUCAUCUAAAGCUAAAUAUUGGCCGGAGACCGAUAGCGCACAAGUAGAGUGAUCGAAAGGUUAAAAGCACCUUGAAAAGGGAGUUAAACAGCACGUGAAAUUGUUGAAAGGGAAGCGCUUGCGGCCAGAUUCGGGGGCGGGGUUCAGCGGGUGCUCGUCGCCCGUGUAUUCCUCGUCUCCCGGGCCAGCAUCAGUUUCGACGGCCGGUCAAAGGCCCCCGGAAUGUGUCGUCUCUCGGGACGUCUUAUAGCCGGGGGUGCAAUGCGGCCCGUCGGGACUGAGGAACGCGCUCCGGCUCGGAUGCUGGCGUAAUGGCCGUAAGCGGCCCGUCUUGAAACACGGACCAAGGAGUCUAACAUCCACGCGAGUGUUCGGGUGUCAAACCCGUGCGCGCAGUGAAAGCGAACGGAGGUGGGAGCCCUAGGGCGCACCAUCGACCGAUCCUGAAGUCUUCGGAUGGAUUUGAGUAGGAGCGUGGCCGUUGGGACCCGAAAGAUGGUGAACUAUGCCUGAAUAGGGUGAAGCCAGAGGAAACUCUGGUGGAGGCUCGCAGCGGUUCUGACGUGCAAAUCGAUCGUCAAAUUU
rnacentral:rRNA from 1 species